rnacentral:rRNA from 1 species
AACGAACGCUGGCGGCAGGCUUAACACAUGCAAGUCGAGCGAGACCUUCGGGUCUAGCGGCGGACGGGUGAGUAACGCGUGGGAACGUGCCCUUCUCUACGGAAUAGCCCCGGGAAACUGGGAGUAAUACCGUAUACGCCCUUUGGGGGAAAGAUUUAUCGGAGAAGGAUCGGCCCGCGUUGGAUUAGGUAGUUGGUGGGGUAGUGGCCCACCAAGCCGACGAUCCAUAGCUGGUUUGAGAGGAUGAUCAGCCACACUGGGACUGAGACACGGCCCAGACUCCUACGGGAGGCAGCAGUGGGGAAUCUUAGACAAUGGGGGCAACCCUGAUCUAGCCAUGCCGCGUGAGUGAUGAAGGCCUUAGGGUUGUAAAGCUCUUUCAGCUGGGAAGAUAAUGACGGUACCAGCAGAAGAAGCCCCGGCUAACUCCGUG